CAUUUGCCUCGCUGCCUGGCUCGCUUCACUGAAUAACUUCCCAUCAAAAUCUUCAAGUUCAAGGCCAAAAAAAAGGUGGGAAAUUCCUCAUUUGAGCUCUCAUGGCGUCUCCCAAGAAAUCAAAGAAAAGCAAGAAAGAUAGGAAAUUGGAGAAAAACUUAAGCUUGGUUCCAGUCGAGCCUAAAGCCACAGACUCUGACUGGUGGGAUAGUUUCUUCAACCCAAGGUUGCAAUAUCUGUGAUCAGGGUACUUUUGUUUGUGGCAAGGCCAAGGACUUUUGUUGAAGGAAACCUUCCAAAUUCCAUGGUUACAGAAAUGUUGAGUAGUAUCCCAAUGCAAUCAAUGUUCCUGGAAUUCUCAUACUUGAGAUUGAUGCUCCCAUUGACUUUGCAAAUACCAACUACUUAAGAGAAAGGCACACAGGUUGGAGAGGACUUGAUGAAGGCAUCAUUAUAGUUGGGACUUGCAUGAUUUAAAAGAUACAAUGGCUGGUUGCAUGUCAACCCCAUCCAAAACAAUUAAAUGACCGAAAAAACACUAUCAAAGGGUCAUCAAACGCCCUAGAAAGGCAACCUGCUCCGCUUCAGAUGGUACCAAGAAAAGAAAUACCAGUUUCAAGAAAAGAAAUAGUGAUGCAGGAGCUCGCGUGAGUGACUAUGCUGUUAGUGAGUUUGUUGAUGUGGACUUUGAGAAUGGUGCAAGAACUACUCACAGAAGAUCUAAGGUUUCUAAUUCAACAUUCCAUCUCACCCAGCUGCAAUGGCACCACAGUCAAUAUGAUUCGAAUUUAAUUUUCCAAGGGGAAGCUUGGUUUGACUCAGUGAGUAUUCUGGAGUCUGACUCGGAUAAUGACUUUAUCAGUAUACAUGGAGAUGGUUUUCCAUUAGCAAGCAAUCCAGUUGGGAAUAUCUCAAGUGGCCAAGUACUUCAGUACGAAAGAUCUGCUCGCUUUGUUGAUAAUGAGUGUAAGUAUGAAGAAUACCAAAGCUAUAUGAAAAUAGAUGGAGGUAAAUCAGAUAAAAUCAUAGGAAAAGAUGAGCGCAGGGAAUCAAAUUGGUUUUCGCUUAUUAGUACCCAAGGCUAUGAGUUUUCUCGCUUAGGGAAGGCUGAUUAAGUUCGUAGUAAGAGGAAGAAUAUAUUAGAUCACUCUUAUGGAAGCUUUAAAGGACUUAGAGGAUGGAAGUGAUUUUAAUGAAAAAAUUCAAGACAAUGCCCUGAAAUCCGGCUUAUCUCGAUUGGUACCUUCUGUAAGUUUCAACGAUAAGAUUCUAAGUGCACAGAGUGUGGUUCAGACUUUCUUUUAAAAGGAGAUCAUGUGAUGCAGAAGAAACCAUUGAACAAUGUCAAUCAAAAAGGUUUUUGUAUCGGCCUAGACGAGGAUAUAUCAUUCCAUGUUGUAGAGUAGAGAAGCCGACUUCAGGAUCUUGGUCUGCGAUUCCACCCUCACCUUUUAAAUUCCGUGGCGAGAACUAUUUCAAAGAUAACGAAAUUCAACUGCUCCGAACUACAUUCCAUAUACUCCAAUAGGUGUUGAUGUGUUUGUAUGCGCUAGAAAGAUACAUCACAUUGCCCAGCAUCUUGAGCUUCCCAAAGUGAAAGCAAAUGGGAAAAUGUUCAUUGUAAACAUACAGUUGCCUACUUAUCCUGCUGCAAUGUUUCUUGGUGAUAGUGAUGGAGAGGGGAUGAGUCUUGUAAUGUAUUUCAAAGUUUCUGAGAAUUUUGAUAAAGACAUCUCUCCUCAAUUCCAGGACAACAUCAAGAUGAGACGAAAAAAGUUAAAGGAUUCGCAAAGGACCCCACUGUACCUUUUAGAGAAAGACUAAAGAUCUUGGCUGGGGUGGUAAAUCCUGAGGAUCUUGGUCGGAGUUCUGCUGAGAAGAAGCCUUUACAUGCAUAUAAUGACAAACCAUUUCUUUCACGCCCCCAGCACAAUUUUUACAAGGGUCCUAACUACUGUGAGAUUGAUCUGGACAUUCAUCGCUUCAGCUACAUAUCAAGGAACGGUCUCGAAUGGAUUCGAGUACGUCUAAAAAACGGAAUACCGGCGCGGCUAUACUCGUGAAA